rnacentral:rRNA from 1 species
UACGAAGGGGGCUAGCGUUGCUCGGAAUCACUGGGCGUAAAGGGUGCGUAGGCGGGUUUUUAAGUCAGGGGUGAAAUCCUGGAGCUCAACUCCAGAACUGCCUUUGAUACUGAAGAUCUUGGUCGGUCGAGAGGUGAGUGGAACUGCGAGUGUAGAGGUGAAAUUCGUAGAUAUUCGCAAAGAACACCAGUGGCGAAGGCGGCUCACUGGCCCGGUACUGACGCUGAGGCACGAAAAGCGUGGGGGAGCA